CCUACGGGGCGCAGCAGUGAGGAAUAUUGGUCAAUGGGCGGAAGCCUGAACCAGCCAAGUAGCGUGCAGGAUGACGGCCCUACGGGUUGUAAACUGCUUUUAUACGGGAAUAACGCGCCUUACGUGUAGGGCUUUGCAUGUACCGUAUGAAUAAGGACCGGCUAAUUCCGUGCCAGCAGCCGCGGUAAUACGGAAGGUCCGGGCGUUAGCCGGAUUUAUUGGGUUUAAAGGGAGCGCAGGCCGCAUGUCAAGCGUACUGUGAAAUGUCCGGGUUCAACCCGGGCCUUGCAGCGCGAACUGGGGUGCUUGAGUCCGCGGAAAGCAGGCGGAAUUCGUCGUGUAGCGGUGAAAUGCUUAGAUAUGACGAAGAACCCCGAUUGCGAAGGCAGCUUGCUGCAGCGGAACUGACGCUGAUGCUCGAAAGCGCGGGUAUCGAACAGGAUUAGAUACCCGAGUAGUC
rnacentral:rRNA from 1 species